rnacentral:rRNA from 1 species
GAUAAGGAAAGUAGGAAAGGGCGCAUGGCGGAUGCCUUGGCUCUCGGAGGCGAUGAAGGACGUGAUAAGCUGCGAUAAGCUGCGGGGAGGUGCAAAUAACCCUUGAUCCGCGGAUUUCCGAAUGGGACAACCCGUUAUCUUGAAGAGAUAACAUCCAUCUUAUGAUGGA